GGCGUCGCAGUGCGUCGCUGUGCGUGGUGCGUGUCCCUGGUGCGUGUCUCGUGGUUGCGCGCGCAGUGCGGUUUCAAACCUUUCGAAGGGGGCUCGCGACUCGCUGUCUGCGGUCGCAGCAAGGCCUGCCAGUGCUGGUAGACAGCUUAGAUACAGUGUGUAUUAAAAGGCAGUGAUAUGAAGCCUUGGUUUGGUCUAAAGCAGGCUACGGUGAACAGUGAGCCAAGGGCCUGUCCUUGCCCUGCGAAAAAGAGAGUGAGAAGUGCUUGCAGGUGUGGACAUUGCGGAUGGAAAGGCACGGAGCAAAGCAUUUACAAGCAUACGAAAACAAGACAUCCUGGCCAGCCUGUGCUAAAAGCGUUCAACAACAGUCAUUUUGGCCCUGGCAGGCGCUUUGACUGGACCCAAAGAGGCUCGGCACAUGUCACUGUUGCUGUGCCACUUUCUUCAAUCUCAGGACAACGUGGUGCACCAUCCAGUGCGCCUCCCUCUGGGACGAGUCCUGCCUCGUCAGAGAGGGAGGCUAUGGACGAUCCUACCACUCCUACGGACGAUCAUCCAACCACAACUGGAACUGCAGCACCUGAUUUGGAACCUGAGCAACGUGAAGCUGUAGUCCAUAUCUCCGCUGGUGAACCUUCUAAAGAAAGGAGUUAUCGCCAACAUCAACCAAGCUCUUCCACAGACAUCGGCCACCAGCGACAUACCUCUGACAAGACAGGUCUCGGAGUGUCGGUGGAGUGCAGACUACGACGCAUCGAGGAGAGCCUGCUAGAAGUGAAACAGGCGCUAAAGGGUGACCAGCGAGAGUCACGUGUGUGUGCCGACAAGGACACAGAGGCGCGCAUUAACUCGGCACGUGACAUGGAUUCUCUUCUUGAGGCGA